rnacentral:lncRNA from 1 species
GCUGGGCGUGGCAGGCAGGUUCCUCCGACCCCUCCAGGUGAGUUUCCCACCUGCUGCUCGGCAGCUCAUCAGGAGCAGCUGUAUUUACCUCCGACUCGUCCUCCCACCCGCCCCCCGUUUGUCGCGUAAACGCCGAAUGGUAAUUGUGUACCGGCGCCUGUGCUCGUUCUUAUUGCCCUAGCCCUUGGGCAACACCUGCAAGUUUGGUCUGCAUUGUGGGUUCAGCGUCCUGUCGGGCUUCUGCCGUAACAUUUAACCCUUCAGAACUCCUAUUCUGGUCCGAGUGGAGUCGACCUGGAGCACCUCAGUCAAGGCCUGGGUCUCCAUGGAGAUGGACCAGAAGGUCCCAGCAGCAUAGAGUCAAGCCAAUUGUGACUUUACAUUGGCCUGCACACCCUGGCGUGGUAUCUUUUAUAAGGUUCUACCAUAGCCAGCUGGACCUUUGAAAGGAGGUCAACACUAAACGACUCUGCGUGAAGGUAAUUUUACACGACUCCUCUUCCUCCCCCGAUCAGACAUUAUGAACGUGUGCAUGAAGGUGAUGAGACCAGUGAUGCUGUCUGAUGUAGACGAAAGAAAAGGACAGGAGGCGGAGCUGGAGCUGGAGUUGAAGGUGUUGAGGUUCUCUUUGGGAGUAAUAGGAUCAAGAACAAGUAAAAACAUCUGUGGAAGGAUGCUGAGGAUGGAACUGCCCGGUAGGAGGCUGAAAAGGAGGCCAAAGGCUGGAUAUAUGGAUGAGGUGGGUAGUCGCAAGAGAAGAGGCUGCAGAGGAUGCACGUUGGCUUAUCACAGCUGUAGUGGUCAUACGUGUAAAUGGAUCCUAUGUUGGCUCAGCAGUCUCUAAUGGUAUGUGCUUUCUCCAUUCCAGUUAUCAAUUCCACUCCAUUACUCCAUGUAUUUAUUUAUUUAUGAAUAAAAAUCUAUACGUUUAUAAACUCUAAGCACUAUUUUUAACCUUUCUCAGUCCAGCAGAUAAGCAAGCAGUGCUAAGAUCUCAACGCCUGUUUUACUGCAGUUGGUUGAAGUCUUCUAGUGUCAGGAUAAAAAUAACUUGGGGAAUUCUGUUGUUAAGGAGAUCUGACAGGAGA